rnacentral:rRNA from 2 species
AGUCUGAUGGAGCAACGCCGCGUGAGUGAAGAAGGGUUUCGGCUCGUAAAACUCUGUUGUUAAAGAAGAACAUAUCUGAGAGUAACUGUUCAGGUAUUGACGGUAUUUAACCAGAAAGCCACGGCUAACUACGUGCCAGCAGCCGCGGUAAUACGUAGGUGGCAAGCGUUGUCCGGAUUUAUUGGGCGUAAAGCGAGCGCAGGCGGUUUUUUAAGUCUGAUGUGAAAGCCUUCGGCUCAACCGAAGAAGUGCAUCGGAAACUGGGAAACUUGAGUGCAGAAGAGGACAGUGGAACUCCAUGUGUAGCGGUGAAAUGCGUAGAUAUAUGGAAGAACACCAGUGGCGGAGGCGGCUGUCUGGUCUGUAACUGACGCUGAGGCUCGAAAGUAUGGGUAGCAAACAGGAUUAGAUACCCUGGUAGUCCAUACCGUAAACGAUGAAUGCUAAGUGUUGGAGGGUUUCCGCCCUUCAGUGCUGCAGCUAGCGCAUUAAGCAUUCCGCCUGGGGAGUACGGCCGCAAGGCUGAAACUCAAAGGAAUUGACGGGGGCCCGCACAAGCGGUGGAGCAUGUGGUUUAAUUCGAAGC